rnacentral:rRNA from 1 species
GACAGAGGGGGCCAGCGUUGCUCGGAAUCACUGGGCGUAAAGAGCGCGCAGGCGGUCGAUCAAGUCGAGUGUGAAAGCCCCCGGCUCAACUGGGGAGGGUCAUUCGAUACUGAUCGACUCGAAGGCAGGAGAGGGUAGUGGAAUUCCCGGUGUAGUGGUGAAAUGCGUAGAUAUCGGGAGGAACACCAGUGGCGAAGGCGACUCCCUGGCCUGUUCUUGACGCUGAGGCGCGAAAGCUAGGGGAGCAAACGGG